rnacentral:rRNA from 1 species
GAUGAACGCUAGCUACAGGCUUAACACAUGCAAGUCGAGGGACCGCCGUACGGGUGAGUAACGCGUAUCCAACCUUCCCAUUACUGUGGGAUAACCUGCCGAAAGGCAGACUCAUACCGCAUAGUAAUGGUUGGGGAGGCGUCUGAUUAGCUUGUUGGCGGGGUAACGGCCCGCCAAGGCGACGAUCAGUAGGGGUUCGGAGAGGGAGGACCCCCACAUUGGAACUGAGACACGGUCCAAACGCCUACGGGAGGCAGCAGUGAGGAAUAUAGGUAAAUGGACGGAAGUCUGAAACAGCCAAGUAGCGUGCAGGAUGACGGCGUAUGGGUUGUAGACUGCUUUUGUAAGGGGAUAGGUACCAGAUGAAAAAGGACCGGCUAAUUCCGUGCCAGCAGCCGCGGUAAUAC